AACGCAGCGAAGGGCGAUAAGUAAUGUGAAUUGCAGAAUUCAGUGAAUCAUCGAAUCUUUGAACGCACAUUGCGCCUGCCAGUAUUCUGGCAGGCAUGCCUGUCCGAGCGUCAUUUCAACCCUCAAGCCCCCGGGCUUGGUGUUGGGGACCGGCCACCGCCGCAACUCGCGGCAGGCCGCCCCCGAAAUACAGUGGCGGUCACGCUGCGGCAUCUCCUGCGUAGUAAUACACCUCGCAUCGGAUACGCUACGAGACCACGCCGUAAAACAACCCACUUCUGAAAUGUUGACCUCGGAUCAGGUAGGGAUACCCGCUGAACUUAA
rnacentral:rRNA from 1 species